CUCCACACAGCACUCCGGAGCAUACGGCCUAACCUCUAUGACUGGCAGUCCCGGCCCUUGGAAUCCUUCCGACGGAGGUGAUCCAUUAAUGAUAAUGUGAGACAUCACAUAGUCCCCCAAACAGCUGAAAGCCUCCAGCAUCGGAGAGUCAAGCUCUGCAUACAAGAGAAGGGUCCAUAAGCUCAUCAGCUCAUAGCAUCCCAUGUGAUUCAGUCCAUAGUAAAGCCUACUGAUGCGUGAAGAAGACACUGAGAGUUGACCUAGGAC
rnacentral:lncRNA from 1 species